AUACGGAGGGAGCAAGCGUUAUUCGGAAUCACUGGGCGUAAAGGACGCGUAGGCGGGUUUGUAAGUCAGGUGUGAAAUCCUACAGCUCAACUGUAGAACUGCACUUGAAACUACAGACCUAGAGUAUGGAAGGGGCAGAUGGAAUUAGAGGUGUAGGGGUAAAAUCCGUAGAUAUCACUAGGAAUACCGAAAGCGAAGGCGAUCUGCUGGGACAUUACUGACGCUGAGGCGUGAAAGCGUGGGGAGCAAACAGGAUUAGAAACCCUGGUAGUCC
rnacentral:rRNA from 1 species